rnacentral:misc_RNA from 1 species
UUUCCGUAGGUGAACCUGCGGAAGGAUCAUUACUGAGUGAGGGCCCCUCGGGGUCCAACCUCCCACCCGUGUUUAACGAACCUUGUUGCUUCGGCGGGCCCGCCUCACGGCCGCCGGGGGGCAUCUGCCCCCGGGCCCGCGCCCGCCGAAGCCACCUGUGAACGCUGUCUGAAGUAUGCAGUCUGAGACAAUUAUUAAAUUAGUUAAAACUUUCAACAACGGAUCUCUUGGUUCCG